CAGCUCACCCACCCAGGGUCACGUGAUUUGCACAAAUUCUUUGCCCUCCCUGGACCUCAAUUAACCCAUCCACUGUCCCACACUGGGGAUAGGACGAGACAGUUUCAAAGACUGUCUUAGGCAAUGCUGAUGGCCUUGGUGCUUUAGGGGAAGGUGGUGAUGUCACAGAAGUAAAGAGUGACCCUGUCCGAGGCUGAGCUGAAACUCCAGACCGCUGGGGCAAGGGUGGGAGUGUGCUGGGUGGAAUGGUAUACAAUCCACCUCCCUCCGUAAAGGGUUUUGGGGAACAGAACAUCAAGGUGUUUCCCUGCCUAAAGUUCACUGUCUUCAAAUGACCAAGAGCAGCUACUAGCUCUGAGGCAAAAUCGGCGGCAUUAGUGCAAAUUUCCUGUACAGAUCUAGAAAGCAGAAGGCAGCAGAAAGAGGCCAGCUUCCAGGGUUGCUGGGUGGCUCAAGGAGUGUUUCAGGUUUGGGGAGACUGUUCUGGCUUGGUGUCUCCAGCUCUGGGGAACCCCUCAUGCCCACCUUGGAAGAAAUGGUGUAAAAGGACUUGACCUCCAACUCUGAUCUUGGACUUCGACGGCACCUACAGAGGGACAUGGAUCAUUCCAAGAGAAAGGAGGACCAGACCCGGUCCUGGCUUCAGGAUAGCCUCACUGGGUUGCAGAGACACAUGCCAGUGGACCCAGCUGCCUGCCCUUCCUCAGCACCCCCAGCACUUCCUACAAGCCUAGCUCUGCCCAUGCUGCUUCCUGAGCCCACAGAGCCCAUCCCAUGCCCUUCUAGAAGCCAACACUCCUCAUCUGUUCAGUGACUGGCUGACUAUCUGCCUUGGUCUGAGCUUAUUCCAGGACCCAACUCCCUUACUCCCAUGGAGAGGCCUGGCUGUAUGGACACUUCCAAAAGACCACCUUGGCCUUCGAUGCACUUGAAGCCAUGGAGAAAGAGAGAAGCUGCCAGUGAGCGGGCAGCACUGACCCCUGGCUGGCCUGGGAGGACACACUGUUGGCUUCCUGGCUGUGGCAAUAAUCGGUGCCUGGGUGCUUCCUCCCAAGCUGGCUGUCCCAAGCAGGAAGACCACAGGGCAGGUUCCUCCCAAGGGCCACACUGCCUGGCCAAUGAAGUAAUGCUGGCACAAUGCCCUUUCAGAGUUGCAAAAGAAUGAUAACCUUUGAUUGCCCAAGAUGGUCAACAGCCACUCCUGGGCUCUGCUACUGGCAAAAUAUGAGCAAUUCAUUUAUUCAACAAGAAGUUUAUUGAGCACCUAUUAUUUCCAGGCACUUUCCAAAUGGUACAAAGGCAAAAUCCCUGCUCUCAAGGAGCUUCCAUUCUCUUCAGAAGGAGACAAGCAACACAGAAUAUAAUACAAAAAAGUAUAGUAUAGAAGACUGCAAUAAAUUGCACGGAUGAAAAAAUAAAUCAAAAAGAGCACAAUGUUCCUCACCUCCACCGCAGCUCAAAAGAAGGUGACCUUUGAGACCUGAAGGAGGUGAUGGAGGGAGCCAUGAUAAUACCUAGGGGAAGAGCAUUCCAGCAAAGGACACAGCACAGGCAAAGGUCCUGAGGCAGGAUGCAUCUGACACUUUUGGGGACAGGCAGGAGGGUAGUGUGGUUGGAGGUGGAAGGACAGAAGCUAGCCAUUGCCCUUGGCCCUGGGCACCACCCUGUGAAACGAAGCCUCUUCCCUCAUUGUACAGAUUAUAAAAUUGAGGUCCCGAAAGGUCACACAGGCUACACAUGGCAGAUUCAAGCCAGACUUAUUCAAGCAUGAAGCCCAAGUUCUCCACACUCUGCUUCACUCCCAGCCUGGUCAGGAUCCCAGCGAGGAGAUCCAGCCACAGACCUCAAGGGAGGGGAGCAAAGUCAGGACACCCGC
rnacentral:lncRNA from 1 species